rnacentral:rRNA from 1 species
GGGAGGAUGGCUGAGAGGAGCGGCGGUAGUAGGUAGUGGUCGGGCGUUGGGCGGGGUGAUUGGGGGGUGAGCAAGGGGAGGCGGUUGGAUAAGUGGUAAGGAAAAGGCUGGGGGUUAAGCAUAGGAUGGUUUGGAAACUGGCAAACUUGAGUGCAGAAUGGGAGAGUGGAAUUGCAUGUGUAGCGGUGAAAUGCGUAGAUAUAUGGAGGAACACCGGUGGCGAAAGCGGCUCUCGGGUCUGUAACUGACGCUGAGGCUCGAAAGCGUGGGGAGCAAACAGGAUUAGAUACCCGAGUAGUC